ACUGCGAGUGAAGCGGGAAAAGCUCAAAUUUAAAAUCUGACAGUCUCUGGCUGCCCGAGUUGUAAUCUAGAGAAGCGUUAUCCGCGCUGGACCGUGUAUAAGUCUCCUGGAAUGGAGCGUCGUAGAGGGUGAGAAUCCCGUCUUUGACACGGACUCCCAGGGCUUUGUGAUGUGCUCUCAAAGAGUCGAGUUGUUUGGGAAUGCAGCUCUAAAUGGGUGGUAAAUUCCAUCUAAAGCUAAAUAUUGGCGAGAGACCGAUAGCGAACAAGUACCGUGAGGGAAAGAUGAAAAGAACUUUGGAAAGAGAGUUAAACAGUACGUGAAAUUGUUGAAAGGGAAACGCUUGAAGUCAGUCGCGUUGGCCAGGGAUCAACCUUGCUUUUGCUUGGUGUACUUUCUGGUUAACGGGUCAGUAUCAAUUUUGACCAGUGGAAAAAGAUUAGGGGAAUGUGGCAUCUUGGGAUGUGUUAUAGCCUCUGAUUGUAUACAUUGGUUGGGAUUGAGGAACUCAGCAUGCCGCAAGGCCGGGUUUUUACUAC
rnacentral:rRNA from 1 species